rnacentral:rRNA from 1 species
CCUACGGGUGGCAGCAGUGAGGAAUAUUGGUCAAUGGACGAGAGUCUGAACCAGCCAAGUAGCGUGAAGGAUGACUGCCCUAUGGGUUGUAAACUUCUUUUAUAUGGGAAUAAAAUGUUCCACGUGUGGGAUUUUGUAUGUACCAUAUGAAUAAGGAUCGGCUAACUCCGUGCCAGCAGCCGCGGUAAUACGGGGGAUCCGAGCGUUAUCCGGAUUUAUUGGGUUUAAAGGGAGCGUAGAUGGGUUGUUAAGUCAGUUGUGAAAGUGUGCGGGUCAACCGGAGAAUUGCAAUUGAUACUGGCAGUCUUGAGUAGGGGAGAGGUAGGGGGAAGUCGUGGUGUAGCGGUGAAAGGCGUAGAG